rnacentral:rRNA from 1 species
AUUGAACGCUGGCGGCAUGCCUUACACAUGCAAGUCGAACGGCAGCACGGGUGCUUGCACCUGGUGGCGAGUGGCGAACGGGUGAGUAAUAUAUCGGAACGUACCUUAUCGUGGGGGAUAACGCAGCGAAAGCUGCGCUAAUACCGCAUACGCCCUGAGGGGGAAAGCGGGGGACCGUAAGGCCUCGCGCGAUUAGAGCGGCCGAUAUCUGAUUAGCUUGUUGGUGGGGUAAAGCCCACCAAGGCGACGAUCAGUAGCUGGUCUGAGAGGACGAUCAGCCACACUGGGACUGAGACACGGCCCAGACUCCUACGGGAGGCAGCAGUGGGGAAUUUUGGACAAUGGGGGCAACCCUGAUCCAGCAAUGCCGCGUGAGUGAAGAAGGCCUCGGGUUGUAAAGCUCUUUCGGCUGGAGAAAUCGCACAGGCUAAUACUCUGUGUGGAUGACGGUACCAGCACAAGAAGCACCGGCUAACU